CGGAGGAUCCAAGCGUUAUCCGGAAUCAUUGGGGUUUAAAGGGCGUGUAGGUGGGAUUUUAAGUCAUGUGUCUAAGUGCGAAGCCCAACUUCGUAUAGGCGCAAGAAACUGAGAUUCUUGAGUGCAGGAGAGGAAAGUGGAAUUCCCAGUGUAGCGGUGAAAUGCGUAGAUAUUGGGAGGAACACCAGUGGCGAAGGCGACUUUCUGGACUGUGUCUGACACUGAGGCGCGAAAGCUAGGGGAGCGAACGGGAUUAGAUACCCCGGUAGUCCUAGCCGUAAACGAUGGGUACUAGGUGUAGAGGGUAUCGACCCCUUCUGUGCCGGAGUUAACGCAAUAAGUACCCCGCCUGGGGAGUACGGCCGCAAGGUUG
rnacentral:rRNA from 1 species